GACGAACGCUGGCGGCGUGCCUAAUACAUGCAAGUAGGACGCAGUUGCGAACGGGUGAGUAACGCGUAGGUAACUACCUAUUAGAGGGGGAUAACUAUUGGAAACGAUAGCUAAUACCGCAUACUAGUAGAUGGACCUUCGUUGUAUUAGCUAGUAGGUGGGGUAAUGGCCUACCUAGGCAAGGAUACAUAGCCGACCUGGGAGGGGGAUCGGGCAUACCGGGACUGAGACACGGCGCAGACGUCUACGGGAGGCAGCAGUAGGGAAUCUUUGGCAAUGGGGGGAAACCUGACCGGGCAACGCAGCGUGAGUGAAGAAGGUUUUCGGAUCGUAAAGCUCUGUGGUUCAGUAAGCGUUACUUAACCAGAAAGGGACGGCUAACUACGGGCCAGCCGCCGCGGUAAUUC
rnacentral:rRNA from 1 species